rnacentral:rRNA from 1 species
UACAGAGACUGCAAGCGUUUAUUCGGAUUCACUGGGCGUAAAGGGUGCGCAGGCGGUUGGGUGUGUCAGAUGUGAAAUCCCGAGGCUCAACCUCGGAACUGCGUCUGAAACUACUCGACUAGAGUACUGGAGAGGGUAACGGAAUUCACGGUGUAGCAGUGAAAUGCGUAGAUAUCGUGAGGAACACCAGAGGCGAAGGCGGUUACCUGGACAGUUACUGACGCUCAGGCACGAAAGCAUGGGGAGCAAAAGGG